rnacentral:misc_RNA from 1 species
CCAAUAGCGUAUAUUAAAGUUGUUGCAGUUAAAAAGCUCGUAGUUGAAUUUCGGGAUCGAAUUGUUGGUCGUGCUUCGGUACGUACUGGCAUUAUUGGUUCCUACCUUCUGAAGAACCGCGAUGUCAUUAAUUUGGUGUCGUGGGGAAUCAGGACUGUUACUUUGAAAAAAUUAGAGUGUUUAAAGCAGGCUUACGCUUGAAUACAUUAGCAUGGAAUAAUGAAAUAGGACGUUUGAUUCUAUUUUGUUGGUUUCUAGGAUCGACGUAAUGAUUAAUAGGGAUAGUUGGGGGCAUUAGUAUUCAAUUGUCAGAGGUGAAAUUCUUGGAUUUAUUGAAGACUAACUACUGCGAAAGCAUUUGCCAAGGAUGUUUUCAUUAAUCAAGAACGAAAGUUAGGGGAUCGAAGACGAUCAGAUACCGUCGUAGUCUUAACCAUAAACUAUGCCGACUAGGGAUCGGAUGAUGUUAAUUUUAUAAUGACUCAUUCGGCGCCUUACG